CCAGACUCCUACGGGAGGCAGCAGUGGGGAAUAUUGCACAAUGGGGGAAACCCUGAUGCAGCGACGCCGCGUGAGUGAAGAAGUAUUUCGGUAUGUAAAGCUCUAUCAGCAGGGAAGAAAAUGACGGUACCUGACUAAGAAGCCCCAGCUAACUACGUGCCAGCAGCCGCGGUAAUACGUAGGGGGCAAGCGUUAUCCGGAUUUACUGGGUGUAAAGGGAGCGUAGACGGCGCUGCAAGUCCGGAGUGAAAGCCCAUGGCUUAACCAUGGUACUGCUCUGGAAACUGUGGAGCUUGAGUGCGGGAGGGGCAGGCGGAAUUCCUAGCGUAGCGGUGAAAUGCGUAGAUAUUAGGAGGAACACCAGUGGCGAAGGCGACUUUCUGGACUGUACCUGACGCUGAGGCGCGAAAGCGUGGGUAGCGAACGGGAUUAGAUACCCUGGUA
rnacentral:rRNA from 1 species